rnacentral:sRNA from 1 species
AUUUUAAAAGCAUUUUUUUGGCUGAGGAAAAAUUGUUACGAAAAAAGUUUUUGGCGGGAAUUUUUUUUUUUUGCGGGAAAAAAGUUUGGCGGAAAAUUUUUUUGUUGGAAAAAUAAAUUUGGCGGGAAAAUUUUCAGUUUCCAAUUACAUGUUCUUAUUAUAUGAGGGUAAUUUGGUCAUUCUGUUCAAAGGAAUAAGUAUUUUUAAAAAUGGCCAACAUAAAAGGGUAUUGUUGCAAAAGGGUAGAAAAUAAAGGGUAGUUUUUCAAAUCUCCCUAAUUAAAAAAUCAGGAUUAUUAUGAUGAAAUAGAUAGUUAAAUAGUAUAGCAAAUAGAAUAUGUAAGAUUAAAAUU